AUUGAACGCUGGCGGCAGGCUUAACACAUGCAAGUCGAGCGGAGACUUCGGUCUUAGCGGCGAACGGGUGAGUAAUACCUAGGAAUCUGCCUAUUAGUGGGGGAUAACGAAUCGAAAGGUUCGCUAAUACCGCAUACGAUCUAUGGAUGAAAGCGGGGGAUCGCAAGACCUCGCGCGAUUGGAGCGGCCGAUAUCAGAUUAGGUAGUUGGUGGGGUAAAAGCCUACCAAGCCUUCGAUCUGUAGCUGGUCUGAGGGGACGACCAGCCACACUGGAACUGAGACACGGUCCAGACUCCUACGGGAGGCAGCAGUGGGGAAUUUUGGACAAUGGGCGCAAGCCUGAUCCAGCAAUGCCGCGUGCAGGAUGAAGGCCCUGGUUGUAACUAGCUUUGUUACGGAACGAAACGGUUACGUCUCUAAUACAGGGGACGUAAGUAGACGGUACCGUAACGGUAAUAAGACACCGGCUAA
rnacentral:rRNA from 1 species